UUCUUCAGACGCUUCUCCAACUUUUGGUAAUGGUUAUCCCUUUUGUUUGAGUUAAACCAUUGUUUAGAAUUUAAGUCAUCACUUGUUGUAUUCGUGUAUUCUUUGUCCCAAAUACAACUCGUGUGACACUAUCCUCUGCACUUUGGUGACGCAAAAACUAUAGUUGCAUACAACAAAUCGGUAAGUAAUUACAUUUUGGUAAUAAAGGUAAACGCCAUCCAUAAUUUAUUUUUAGAUAAAAAAGCCAUUGGAUGAAAAGUGGCGGUACAAACAUGUAGAUGUACAAUGCUCACAUUUUGGCAAGCACAAGUCUAGAUCAGCUGGAAUUAGGCCGAAUCAAAGCGUUUACUCAGUUGGGUGCCCUUUCCACUUCAGGGUAGUUUUCUUUCCCUUGCUUGGCAAGUUUAAGGUUUCUUCUUGUAAUUUGGAGCAUAAAAACCAUGCUAUUUCAAAGGAUCAUAUCGAACUAUACCGUAGAAAACAGAAGCUUAAAGAAAACCCUGCUGCGUAUCAAUUUGCCACUUCCGCUUUAGCUGUUGGAGGGAAUGCAACGCUAACUAGAAAAGAAAUGAGCCAAACCUGGGGCCAUUUCUUGAAAAGGAAGGACCUUCAAAACAUGAAACAGGCAAUGACAGGAUUGUCUUCGGAAGUGUGGCAAUCUACUACGGAAAUACUUGCUAACUUGACAAGCAAUACAGAAAACAUCGUGAACGUAACCUCUGACGAAAAAGGGGAAAUAAAAUGCAUUUACGUCCAAUUGUCGGAGCAAAGAAGAUUUUAUCAACGCUAUGGCGAAGUGCUUCAACUCGAUGGAACCCAUAGCCCAUAGCCAUGGAACCCAUUUCCGUAACCAUUUGGCGGGCUUAUGGGGAAAAUUGCCCAACCCAGCUUCCCUUAUAUACGCGCCAAAAAUGUUCAAAACCCCGUUGGAAUAAAAAUUUUGGUAGCUAUGAAAACAUUACAACUAAAAAAAAAAAUCGAAAAACAUGUUUUUUUCCUAUACCUCCCUAACAAUCUCGACUACGUUGUUUAGCAGCGCCAACUACAUCCCUGAAAACGACGACACUUUUCAGGGAUAGGAGUGUCCCUUCCAUUAAGCUCUUAUACCAUGCUUGGAGCGUGGAAGGUGGAACAGUAUAUCGUGUAAAUUAUCGUGGGCAACACUGAGCAUCGCAAUCCCUGGAUGAAAAAAAAAAAAAAACUCCGCGCCGAAUCGACGAAAAAGUUCUCUGAUCUACGUGGGGCCGAGUCCUAUCUAUACGUCUUGAUAUAUAACUUCACUGCUAACGCAGUAAUUCUUGUACUUGCUUUUAUUAUGCGGUCAUGCACAAAUUCGCCAUUUUUUUUUCGUGCAAGAAGGCGUACAAACUUACUGCCCUUAUCCUUUCCUUUCUAAAAGUAAUACAUGACAGAGAACAAGCAAUGUAUGCAAAGAAUAAAAUGUUUUGAGAAACAG
rnacentral:lncRNA from 1 species